GCAUCGGUGGUUCAGUGGUAGAAUGCACGCCUGCCACGCGGGCGGCCAGGGUUCGAUUCCCGGCCGAUGCA
rnacentral:tRNA from 1 species